CAGCAAUGCACGGUAGAGAGGCGCGGCUUUCGGCAGGAACUUGACUCUUGGAGGCACAAACUCAUUCACUGUGCUUUGAAAGCAUCUUGGAAGGCUUGUUUGGGCCAGGACUAGUCAAAGAUAUCACCUUUUUCCAAGACUGCGAGCCCGAGGAAGUAUCCGACUGGUCCUUCGAUGAAAACUGUCUCUUCUGCUUCAUAAGACGCGAGAA